ensembl:lncRNA
CCCCCAGGAGCCCAGUGUUGGCUUGUUCUGGUCAAAACACUGCAAUCAGCCAGAGAACUUGUACUGCCCCUCUGUAUAAGAUUUGGACCCUCUUACAUUCUGCUGAAAGCACCUUUGGAAAGGAACAGUACCUUAUUCCUGGGGCACAGGUAGAGACGCUGGAGGGGUCCCCCAAAUGCAGGCAGGAAUUUGUAUCACAAAUAAGGCACCUUUGUCUUCUACGCCUUCAAUACAAGCUGCUAAAAAUGGGCUUUUCUUUCAGCCCAGAGGACAAAAACUUAAAAACGAAACAACAAACCCAACCAUCUCCCUGUGCCUGUGCUGCCACCUCCCUCUCUCUCCUCUGCCUGCGGCAGGCAGCUCGGGCUGUGAGGACCCCGUGCCGAGACUGAGGAAGCAACUGUAUAUACGGAUGGGAGACAAGCUGGGUGCUCAUCAGGAGGAAACAGCCUCGUGCUGCCAUCACUGGAAGGAGCAUAGAUCACUCUCCCCAGCCUGGAGCAGCUGAGAUGCAGCCAUGUGCUGCCCGCUGACAUCUCAGUGACAGCAGAUGAGUCUCCAAGAGAGGGGCAGCAAGGUUGGAAAGCUUUCAGUGGCUUCCAGAUGGGGCCCUUUCCCACCUGUACACCCUAGGACGCUGAAAACUACUGCAAGCCAGGAGGCCUCACACAGGAACUCAACAACCCUAGCAAGAAUAUAAUUGCCUUCAGAGCUAGCAGUACCGGCAUGAGAGACUGCCUUCAGUAGGAACAGACUUUCCACCAUCUCACGCCUCACCCAGGUGCAUGACUUCGUUUGCAAAGGCCCAAGGGAGUGAAACAGCUCUGUAAGGCCUUAGGAGAAGGGAAAUUGCUAUCAGACUCCUGUUGAUUCCACAGCCCACCAAGGACGCUGCUGGCUUCUACAGGCCAUCCCCCAUCUGUUGGAAUAGCGGGAAGUUUUGCUUUAGCAAUAAAAAAUAAAAAAUGCUGGAGUCCAACUGGUGACUGAAGUCUGGUGCCAGGCUCUGCUGCAGAGACAUCACAGCUGCCUACAGUGCCUGCUCUGAAAGAGGUGCUCAUUAAACAUUUGCCUUGGGUUUAUUUUCCCUGUUUGCUGUACCCAAGCAUUCACAACAAAAAUUCCAUAAGGGAGAGCUGCA